rnacentral:rRNA from 1 species
GCUCCAAUAGCGUAUAUUAAAGUUGUUGCGGUUAAAAAGCUCGUAGUUGGAUUUCUGCUGAGAACGGGCGGUCCGCACUAUGUGCGUGUAUCUGUUACGGUCUUGGCAUCCUCUUGGGCAGCGCGUCCGUGCUUGAUUGCAUGGCGCGGCAUCCAAGACUUUUUACUUUGAGGAAAUUAGAGUGUUCACGGCAGGCAUAC